AUCCAGUUGACGAGUCCCAAAUAGGACGAAACGUGCAUCAAACUGAAU
rnacentral:hammerhead_ribozyme from 1 species